CACCCGCUGGUCCGGGUCCGGGUGUGGGCGGGCCUGCGCUCCGCCGACGUGGUCGAGCGGAUCCGCCGGUUCGAGUUGGACGCGGGCAUC
rnacentral:tRNA from 1 species